rnacentral:lncRNA from 1 species
GUGCUUUUCUGUAUCAAAUUCUCAGGCAGGCAGUGACAGUCCGCCCUUGCCCUCCCCAGAAGGGACCAGCCUGUCAGUCACAACGCUUCUUCUUUGUCUUUCCUGCAGGCAUUUUGGCCAACUCAGCUGGAUGGCACUCAACACCCCCUCUACUUCUGUGUUCUUGCAGCAUGCCAUAGCUUGACUCAUAAAGCUAGCACUCAGCAUCUUGGCUGCGGGUCAAGAUCAACUGAAGUCACAUGCAGGAUGAAGUGGUGAAGGUGACAUUGCUUCUCCUACCUGGCUCAGGAAACAAAAAAUGCAAUGAACUCUCCAACAAUCUGUGAAAAACUUAGGCUCAUGCGGUUGCGGCAAAGACCCUCUGGUCCAGUUUUCUACAUCUAGGAAAGCACCAAGCAAGACUGGAUGUAAAUUCAUCACUGACCUGGGACACACAGUGUUGUGCUCUUUGAUCAUAUGAUUGACAACUGGCAGGAGCCUGCAUUGUUUCUCUGUUACCUAGAGAGUAUAUUUGUGAGGUAUUAAGAGCAUGACAUGUGUCACUACAGGACAAGAGAGAAAAAGGGUGAAAAACAAAUAGCAUCAAAUACCCUCAUCCAAAAGAGUACUUCAUGGCAACGUUAAGCAGAAGACUGGCUCAAAUGCAAACAGCAAUUUUUAGGACUUCUCAAAAUCUCAUGGAGUUUGAGGGAUGUGGGUCUGAAGACCCACCUCAUCUCUAAGUAGGAUAGCCUGAAUAACAUCAACUUUUGGAAUUUGAAAUGCUUGCUUUGUGACUCCUAGGCCAAACUAGUCAUAGCCAGAGAAUUAAUUAACUGGGAGCAUUCGGAUCAUGAUCAAAGCACUGUGUGAAGCCUUUGAAUGUCCCUUUAUGAAAUAAUCUGGUGGAAUAUUCAGAACUCCUCCAGAACUGAGAA